UACAGAGGUCUCAAGCGUUGUUCGGAUCCAUUGGGCGUAAAGGGUGCGCAGGCGGCGGGGCAAGUCGGACGUGAAAUCUCGGGGCUUAACCCCGAAACUGCGUUCGAUACUGCCCUGCUAGAGGACUGGAGAGGAGACUGGAAUUCCUGGUGUAGCAGUGAAAUGCGUAGAUAUCGGGAGGAACACCAGUGGCGAAGGCGGCAUCCUGGCCAUGUCCUGACGCUCAGGGGCGAAAGCGUGGGGAGCAAACCGG
rnacentral:rRNA from 1 species